rnacentral:lncRNA from 1 species
GAAAGACUUAAGCUGUUACCAAUCCGAAGAUAUGCAGAUGAUAUUGAAAGAAAAACACAACUUAUUUUUCUCUUAAACGGUAUACUUCAACCAAUACAUGGAUUCUCUUCCAAGAACCAACUUGAGGAAAGGAAAAAUAAUAACGAUCCAAACAACGUCAGUAAGUUACAAGAAGAAGGCAGGCAAGGAAGUAGCAGGUUCGUGUUGUUGUUUUCUACUGUGCAAUUCGGAAGUGAAUACUAGCUAUGUUUCCAAUCACUUAGAUUGUAUCAUUGGGGAAUCACAGUCAAUUGCAAUACAAAUCAUAAGGUGUCACACGGUUUCAUAUCGUUCAGGGAUGAUAAACAAAAAUCAAUAUGGACGACAGCUUUCCGCAAUUACUAUCGUACAGGUUUGACAAAAAAAUGUUUCCGUGCCUCCCAUAGUUUGUGAUUCAUCAAAAGUGAAUGUGUUGUGUUUUUGGUUAUUGAUUGAUUCACAAUGGAAGUACGCCAAAGACAACAUGAGUCGUCUCAAACAUGGCGGUAAGAAAGAUGCAAACAGUGUCAUUAAGUUAAGUAAAUAUUUUUUUUUUCUUUUUAAGGUUUUAAUACUUCAUAUUAUAAUCAGGAGGUGUGUUUAUUGCUAAGACUUGUAAUAGUUGAACGGGACAGGAGUGUGGAGAGAGGGAUGUAUUCCAACAUUAGUUUUAUCUUAAUAAAUUAUUUUUCUUUAAAUUACUGCAUGACAUUCAAAACCACAUCCUUUGAAAACAGAUGUCAGUACUACAUGUUUUAAAUACUUGAUACAUCUAUUAACAUUUUAAGCAGCAAGAAAAAUAAAAAAUGAUAGUCGCACGUGUUCAGCUUAUAGAGAAGUUACAUACAUUUGUUUAUGAAUGGAUUGGACACAUACGAACAUUCCAUUCCAUGUUUAGUUGUAAAUACCUUUUAAAUAUUAUUAUUAAUAAUUACCAGAUUUUUAAAAUGCUCUUUUCAUCCAUGAAAUAAACGUUCAGAAGCGCUGUACAAGCUACAUAUAACAGAAUGAUAUGGGCACAUAGAACGACUCAAAAAAUAUAGAUAUACUGAAAAAAAUAUAAAUCAGCAUUAAAAUAUCAGAGGAAGUUAGCUACAAUCAGGUUUAACGUUACACAUUAAUUAUACUGGAUAUGUCAAGGAACAAUAAACAACAGUAAAGUAAUAUCUAUUAUACAGUCAUCAAAAAGCUUGUUUUCCAGUGCAAAGUUAGUUUCCUUAGACCUUUAAGAAAAAGUUAUACUUGUGUAUUUCAAAACAUAUAAUCUCUUUGGAUUGUUCCAGACACUGAUAAUAUUUCAUCUUAAUUUGAUGUAAAACAGAAUGAUCUUAUCUUUUAAAGUUCUACAAUGUAACGGAAUAUCAACUAUGGAUUGGAUGUGUUGACUUUUACCCUACAGAAGUCACUUAUGUC